UGGGGAAUUGUUCGCAAUGGGCGCAAGCCUGACGACGCAACGCCGCGUGGAGGACGAAGAUCUUCGGGUUGUAAACUCCUGUCGAGCGGGACGAACAGCGCUCGGGUUAAUACCCCGGACGCCUGACGGUACCGCUAAAGGAAGCCCCGGCUAACUCCGUGCCAGCAGCCGCGGUAAUACGGGGGGGGCAAGCGUUGUUCGGAAUUACUGGGCGUAAAGGGCUCGUAGGCGGCCAGCCAAGUCGGACGUGAAAUCCCUCGGCUUAACCGGGGAACUGCGUCCGAUACUGGUUAGCUUGAAGCCGGGAGAGGGAUGCGGAAUUCCAGGUGUAGCGGUGAAAUGCGUAGAUAUCUGGAGGAACACCGGUGGCGAAGGCGGCAUCCUGGACCGGUCUUGACGCUGAGGAGCGAAAGCUAGGGGAGCAAACGGG
rnacentral:rRNA from 1 species